CCCAUGUGGGGGUAGGGGGGCUGUCGAUGACUGGUCAGCUUGGACCUUGCAUCCCAUCCCAAGAAUGGACACCACAUUCUUGACAGGGCCAAGGAGAGCUUGAAAUAGGAACACUUCUCUAUCCGUUUCUCAUCACGGAUGGCUGACCUGCUGAGUUCUACCGGCA